rnacentral:rRNA from 1 species
UACAGAGGUCUCGAGCGUUGAUCGGAAUUAUUGGGCUUAAAGGGUGCGUAGGCGGCGCCGUAAGUGCCUUGUGAAAUCCCAUGGCUCAACCAUGGAAUUGCUCGGUAGACUGCGGCGCUUGAGGUUGGUAGGGGUCGCUGGAACUCUAGGUGGAGCGGUGAAAUGCGUAGAUAUCGGGAGGAACACCAGUGGCGAAGGCGGCUUUCUGGCCUGUUCUUGACGCUGAGGCGCGAAAGCUAGGGUAGCAAACGGG